UGCUACCGAGAGGAGGGGGGGUUUGUUGUCGUUGUUGGGUAUGGCGGCUUCUUACCUGCCGUUCGCUACGCUCCUCCACCAAUCCACCUGUCGGGGCAACCAUUACAUAGCGUAAAUCUUCGCAAAGCGGUUAAUCGAUUGGAGGGUUGUUGCUCUAACCUGAAACCGGGACCAAGGCAAGAGCGGGCUCUACCAAUGUGACGUGUGACGUUAGCUGGCUGAUCUUGGGUACCGGCUACCGACGUCGUCGACUCGGGAUCUCCGGUGUAUAAAUUCUUCGCCGACGGAAGGGUCACUAUCAGUCGAGUGUCAGUAAUCGAUCUAAACGCAGUUCGCCUUUCGCGGUCAAGUCAAACCUCCCCCAAAUUAGUCAAAAUGAAAUUCCUGCUCAUGACCAUCUGUCUCGUCGUGCUGGCCUUCGCCCUGGUUGCCGCCGUGCCCGCCGUCAACGAUGAGAGCAUCUUCGGUGCCGAUGGGGCCGCCGCCGACGACACCAUCAACCCCCAGGACACGCAAGACCUGCUGUUCAAGAAGCUGCUGCUGAAGAAGAAGCUGCUCCUGCUGGGUUAGAAUGUUUCCUCGCACGCAAUCGACGCCUAGUCUCCAGUGAGGUUGGAUCGGGUGUUGAUACAGGGAGGAGAACCCGCUCGACGUUGUCUGCCUGGUGCAGACGCCGAUGGGGGUUUUCCGCCGACUCGCCCAACGACCGUCAACGCGUAGGAAACUUUCUAUUAGAGCGAUAGGAUUUUCUACUUUUACUCUUUAUUUACGACUCACCUAUUUGAUAAUUGGUUCUAUUGAAUCAAGGAAUGAUUGGAGAAUGACUUGAGUGCAAUGAAUGAGUUUUACUCUUUUUGUGUAAUAUAGGAACUGCCAGUCAAAUAGCUUCAAUGCACAACCUGAAUAAAUGAUAAGUCCUUAAAACUAAAA